rnacentral:rRNA from 1 species
UAAUACCUGAUAAGCCCACGGACUCUUCGGAGUUUGCGGGAAAAGAGGGGGACCUUCGGGCCUCUUGUCAUCGGAUGAGUCCGCGUACCAUUAGCUAGUUGGCGGGGUAAAGGCCCACCAAGGCGACGAUGGUUAGCUGGUCUGAGAGGAUGAUCAGCCACACUGGAACUGAGACACGGUCCAGACUCCUACGGGAGGCAGCAGUGGGGAAUUUUGCGCAAUGGGGGAAACCCUGACGCAGCAACGCCGCGUGAGUGAUGAAGGCCUUCGGGUCGUAAAGCUCUGUCUAGAGGAAAGAAAUGUUUGGAGGUUAAUACCCUUUGAACUUGACGGUACCUCUGAAGGAAGCACCGGCUAACUCCGUGCCAGCAGCCGCGGUAAUACGGAGGGUGCGAGCGUUGUUCGGAUUUAUUGGGCGUAAAGCGCGUGUAGGCGGUUUCUUAAGUCUGAUGUGAAAGCCCCGGGCUCAACCUGGGAAGUGCAUUGGAUACUGGGAGACUUGAAUACGGGAGAGGGUAGUGGGAUUCCUAGUGUAGGAGUGAAAUCCGUAGAUAUUAGGAGGAACACCGGUGGCGAAGGCGGCUACCUGGACCGAUAUUGACGCUGAGACGCGAAAGCGUGGGUAGCAAACAGGAUUAGAUACCCUGGUAGUCCACGCCGUAAACGAUGAGUACUAGGUGUCGCGGGUA